GUGCUCGCUUCGGCAGCACAUAUACUAAAAUUGGAAUGAUACAGAGAAGAUUAGCAUGGCCACUGUGCAAGGAUGACAUGCAAAUUCGAGAAGCGUUCCAUAUUUAA
rnacentral:snRNA from 1 species